GAUUGAACGCUGGCGGCAUGCCUUACACAUGCAAGUCGAACGGCAGCACGGGAGCAAUCCUGGUGGCGAGUGGCGAACGGGUGAGUAAUGUAUCGGAACGUACCUUUCAGUGGGGGAUAACGUAGCGAAAGUUACGCUAAUACCGCAUAUUCUGUGCGCAGGAAAGCAGGGGAUCGCAAGACCUUGCGCUGAUUGAGCGGCCGAUAUCAGAUUAGCUAGUUGGUGAGGUAAAGGCUCACCAAGGCGACGAUCUGUAGCGGGUCUGAGAGGAUGAUCCGCCACACUGGAACUGAGACACGGUCCAGACUCCUACGGGAGGCAGCAGUGGGGAAUUUUGGACAAUGGGGGCAACCCUGAUCCAGCCAUGCCGCGUGAGUGAAGAAGGCCUUCGGGUUGUAAAGCUCUUUCGGCCGGGAAGAAAUCGCAUGGGUUAAUACCCUGUGCGGAUGACGGUACCGGCAUAAGAAGCACCGGCUAACUACGUGCCAGCAGCCGCGGUAAUACGUAGGGUGCGAGCGUUAAUCGGAAUUACUGGGCGUAAAGCGUGCGCAGGCGGUUUUGUAAGACAGGCGUGAAAUCCCCGGGCUCAACCUGGGAGCUGCGCUUGUGACUGCAAGGCUAGAGUAUGGCAGNNGGGGGGUGGAAUUCCACGUGUAGCAGUGAAAUGCGUAGAGAUGUGGAGGAACACCAAUGGCGAAGGCAGCCCCCUGGGCCAAUACUGACGCUCAUGCACGAAAGCGUGGGUAGCAAACAGGAUUAGAUACCCUGGUAGUCCACGCCCUAAACGAUGUCAACUAGGUGUUGGGUGGGUAAAACCAUUUAGUACCGGAGCUAACGCGUGAAGUUGACCGCCUGGGGAGUACGGCCGCAAGGUUAAAACUCAAAGGAAUUGACGGGGACCCGCACAAGCGGUGGAUGAUGUGGAUUAAUUCGAUGCAACGCGAAAAACCUUACCUACCCUUGACAUGUCCAGGAGCCUGAAGAGAUUUGGGUGUGCCCGAAAGGGAACUGGAACACAGGUGCUGCAUGGCUGUCGUCAGCUCGUGUCGUGAGAUGUUGGGUUAAGUCCCGCAACGAGCGCAACCCUUGUCGUUAAUUGCCAUCAUUCAGUUGGGCACUUUAACGAGACUGCCGGUGACAAACCGGAGGAAGGUGGGGAUGACGUCAAGUCCUCAUGGCCCUUAUGGGUAGGGCUUCACACGUCAUACAAUGGUCGGUACAAAGGGUCGCCAACCCGCGAGGGGGAGCCAAUCCCAGAAAGCCGAUCGUAGUCCGGAUCGUAGGCUGCAACUCGCCUGCGUGAAGUCGGAAUCGCUAGUAAUCGUGGAUCAGCAUGUCACGGUGAAUACGUUCCCGGGUC
rnacentral:rRNA from 1 species